rnacentral:rRNA from 1 species
UGGGGAAUAUUGGACAAUGGGCGAAAGCCUGAUCCAGCCAUGCCGCGUGUGUGAAGAAGGCCUUUUGGUUGUAAAGCACUUUAAGUGGGGAGGAAAAGCUUAUGGUUAAUACCCAUAAGCCCUGACGUUACCCACAGAAUAAGCACCGGCUAACUCUGUGCCAGCAGCCGCGGUAAUACAGAGGGUGCAAGCGUUAAUCGGAAUUACUGGGCGUAAAGCGCGCGUAGGUGGUUAUUUAAGUCAGAUGUGAAAGCCCCGGGCUUAACCUGGGAACUGCAUCUGAUACUGGAUAACUAGAGUAGGUGAGAGGGGAGUAGAAUUCCAGGUAUAGCGGUGAAAUGCGUAGAGAUCUGGAGGAAUACCGAUGGCGAAGGCAGCUCCCUGGCAUCAUACUGACACUGAGGUGCGAAAGCGUGGGUAGCAAACAGGAUUAGAUACCCUGGUAGUCCACGCCGUAAACGAUGUCUACCAGUCGUUGGGUCUUUUAAAGACUUAGUGACGCAGUUAACGCAAUAAGUAGACCGCCUGGGGAGUACGGCCGCAAGGUUA